rnacentral:tRNA from 1 species
AGGGAUGUAGUGAAAUGGCUAUCACUAGGGUCUCCAUCCAGCCCUUCGCGAAGGGCUGGAUCCAAAACCCUCAUUCAGGGUUCGAAUCCCUGCAUCCCUGCCA